GCAUCUUUUUCUUCUCUCCCGCUGAAAUCCAAGAUUGUUCUUUAUUUUUCUUUCUUUUCGUGAUUCUUCUUUCUGUUGAUGUAGGUAGGUUAUAAUAAUAGAUUUAUGUUGUUGCAGUUGAAUUGGAAAGACUAUUGAGAGGAAUAGAAGAAGAAGCCACGUCUGCAAGGAGAGCAGUUUGGGCAUCCAACGGUUUUAACAGGGACCCAAUUGAACUGCUAGCACAAAUUAUUUUUUCCUUAAACAAUGCAAAAGGCUGUGAAAAUACCAAUCAAAAGUGUCAGGAGUUGUUGAUGUUCGUCCUAAAAAAAAGGAUACCCCUCAAGUAGUUCCUAUUUGGAAGGCUAAGGUCGGAGGUUCGCUAUGUAAGUGCAGAAAGAAGAUCCAGCGAUGUUUUGGUUGACUCAACUUUCUGGGCUUAUGCAUUCGAUAUACAUCCAGGUACCAGAAGAGGUCCUUGGAAACAUGGGUGCGCCACCAAAGACUGACGUGCCUAUCAUUACUCCUAACAAUCAUGCUGAUGCGGAUGGGCUUAUCUUUGGGUUCCCUACUAGAUUUGGAAUGAUUGAAGCUCAAUUCAAAGCUUUUCUAGACACACAGGGGGUCUAUGGUGAACACAAUCUUUAGCUGGCGAACCCGGUGGAAUCUUCAAGGUUGAGAGCAAUCACUCAGUGAUUCACCAUGGACUAAUUUAUCUUCCCAUUGGAUUAACAUUUGAAGCCGGGAUGUUUGAGAUGGUGCAAGUGAAAGGUGGUACCCCAUAUGGUGCAGGAAUUUUUGCUGGGGAUGGACCAAGACAACCAACUGAGCGCGAACUUGGACGAGCCUUUCACUAGGGGAACUACAUUGCUGGCAUUGCAAAGAAGCUCAAAGAUGUCGAGCUACUACUUUUGUUGUGCUCAUAACAAUAAGAUAUUUUAUUCGAAUUGUCCGGACUGUCUUGAGGUCUGUGUGUUAUAUUUAAGGCAAUAGAUAGGCCAUGAUCUAGGCUGAGUAGAAUCAAUGAGCUUCCACUAAAGGGUUCAGUUAUAUUGUACUGCUCAUGGAUUUCAUUAAAGGAUGGGUAGAAUCAAUUUCAUUAAAUUGUAGAACCAAUGAGGAUGGUCAUGAUCUAGGCUGAUCAGAAUGUUCUUUUAUUUUACUGAUUUUUCGCAGUUUGUGAAUGAGUUUCUAAUUUUAUGUAGUUCCAAAUUCUUAAGCUGAUGUGUUAAGUGUACUUCUCUUCUAGGAACUCAGUUACUUAUAUGAACCGUCUUCACUUCUAGAGAGUGAAUUUCCUACGGUUGAGGAGCAUAAUCUUCUAUAGGUUACUGGGUGACUGCAAGGACAUCGGAUGUGAUCCACUGAAUCUAGCUUUGCCAAAGAAAUGAUGUGACGCCUUGAUAGAACCUAGAAUGGAUACGGUUGGUGCAAUCAAAAGAUAUUAUUGUUUCUUAUGAUUUUAUUGCGACAAUGGUCAUGGCUGAAUUAUACAAUGACAACAGUCGGUGAGAAUUUAAGUUGCUUAGUCACUUUUGUAUUAGUAGAAUUUCUUAUCAAUUUUUCCCUUCAUAUUAUAUAAAAUCUUUACUUCAUGUAGGAUUAAAAAUUAAGUUUUUUUUUUCUGUUUUAUAUUUCGUUAUGUUUGUGUGACAAGCUCCUCCUUCAUAUUUUUUUUCGUUAUUUUUUG